AGUGACGAUAGCCUAGGAGAUACACCUGUACCCAUGCCGAACACAGAAGUUAAGCCCUAGAACGCCGGAAGUAGUUGGGGGUUGCCCCCUGUGAGAUANUAGGGAGUUUAGCUCAGCUGGGAGAGCA
rnacentral:rRNA from 1 species